rnacentral:rRNA from 1 species
CAGCCAUGAAUCUGGUCUUGGGACACUGUCAGGUGGGCAGUUUGACUGGGGCGGUCGCCUCCCAAAAGGUAACGGAGGCGCUCAAAGGUUCUCACAGUACGGUCGGAAAUCGUACGUAGAGUGUAAAGGCAAAAGAGAGCUUGAUUGCAAGACAUACAGGUCGAGCAAGGAUGAAAAUAGGACGUAGUGAACCGGUGGUUCUGCGUGGAAGGGACAUCGCUCAACGGAUAACAGCUAACCUGGGGAUAACAGGCUUAUCCCCCCCAAGAGUCCACAUCGACGGGGAGGUGUGGCACCUCGAUGUCGGCUCCUCACAUCCUG